CUUCAGGGAACCUAGUACUGAGCAAAGCUUGAGCUAGGCACAAGAAAGUCCACAGGAUAACAGGCUCAAACACCUAGAUUCACCAAAAUGGAGUCGCAUUGUUAUUUCUGAGGCCUGAAGCCUUUCAGCCUUCACCAAGUCUCAGAGCUUCUACCGGUCUGAGUUCAGAAGUGGCCAACCUCACAGAUGAAGUCUUUUACACACCCAGAGAAAACAGACUGAUGACUGGACUGAAACUUCUGGAACAACAAGUCAGAGUAGAUCUCCCUCCUCCUAAGCUGUUGGACUCAAGAGUUUCAUCACAGUCGUCACAGUGGGAAAAGCUAAGAAGAGAGUGUACGCACUGUGUAAAGACAUGACUAUUUCAUCAUUUCCCCAUGUACCCUGUCCAGUUUUAUCGUGCUGUACUUAGCAAAGCUAUACCAAUAUGUGCCAUCUUGACCUGGCUGCAAUACACAGUUGUUUAAUCGACA